AUGAACGCUAGCUACAGGCUUAACACAUGCAAGUCGAGGGGCAGCAUUACGGUAGCUUGCUACUGUAGAUGGCGACCGGCGCACGGGUGAGUAACGCGUAUCCAACCUGCCCAUGACUUGGGGAUAACCUUGCGAAAGCAAGCCUAAUACCCGAUACGCUUCAUAGAUGGCAUCUGAAAUGAAGUAAAGGUUUACGGUUAUGGAUGGGGAUGCGUCCGAUUAGCUUGUUGGCGGGGUAACGGCCCACCAAGGCAUCGAUCGGUAGGGGUUCUGAGAGGAAGGUCCCCCACAUUGGAACUGAGACACGGUCCAAACUCCUACGGGAGGCAGCAGUGAGGAAUAUUGGUCAAUGGAGGCAACUCUGAACCAGCCAAGUAGCGUGCAGGAUGACGGCCCUAUGGGUUGUAAACUGCUUUUAUGCGGGGAUAAAUUGACUCACGUGUGGGUUAUUGCAGGUACCGCAUGAAUAAGGACCGGCUAAUUCCGUGCCAGCAGCCGCGGUAAUACGGGAGGUCCGGGCGUUAUCCGGAUUUAUUGGGUUUAAAGGGAGCGUAGGCCGUUGUUUAAGCGUGUUGUGAAAUGUCCCGGCUCAACCGUGGCACUGCAGCGCGAACUGGACGACUUGAGUGCGCGGAACGUAUGCGGAAUUUGUGGUGUAGCGGUGAAAUGCUUAGAUAUCACGAAGAACUCCGAUUGCGAAGGCAGCAUACGGCAGCGCUACUGACGCUGAAGCUCGAAAGCGCGGGUAUCGAACAGG
rnacentral:rRNA from 1 species